GGAAAUGUCUGUCCAAGCAGUAAGUCUGAAGAGGAGUCAAAUGCUUCUUUUCUUAAGGACAAGCUGUGAUGGGGAGGGAAAUAAUAGUACCGAAGUUCCUGAUGUCACACUGCCGAGAAAAGCUUCUAGUGAGAAAACAGCGGCCCGUACCGCAAACCGACACAGGUAGUCGAGGAGAGAAUCCUAAGGUGAGCGAGAGAACUCUCGUUAAGGAACUCGGCAAAAUGACCCCGUAACUUCGGGAGAAGGGGUGCUGAUCAUACGAUCAGCCGCAGUGAAUAGGCCCAAGCGACUGUUUAUCAAAAACACAGGUCUCUGCAAAAUCGUAAGAUGAAGUAUAGGGGCUGACGCCUGCCCGGUGCUGGAAGGUUAAGAGGAGUGCUUAGCGCAAGCGAAGGUACGAAUUGAAGCCCCAGUAAACGGCGGCCGUAACUAUAACGGUCCUAAGGUAGCGAAAUUCCUUGUCGGGUAAGUUCCGACCCGCACGAAAGGCGUAACGAUUUGGGCACUGUCUCAACGAGAGACUCGGUGAAAUUUUAGUACCUGUGAAGAUGCAGGUUACCCGCGACAGGACGGAAAGACCCCAUGGAGCUUUACUGUAGUUUGAUAUUGAGUGUCUGUACCGCAUGUACAGG
rnacentral:rRNA from 1 species